AAACAACAACAGCAGGACGUUCACACAAAACAGAUUUAAAACAAAAGCAGCAGUUUUUCUAAACGUGUUUCUAUUAUCACUUUUGUAUAGAAAAUGAAUCAUAUUUUUAAAAAUGAGUGUUUUGGCACCACUUGGUGGUGAAUAACUCGUACUUCCUCAGCAGGCGAAAACGACAGCGUACUUAUUUAAAGUAAUAAUUAAAAUGUGUUUGUGGUCAGUUUUAUUAACAACAAAACCUGAUUCAAUGUCGUCAAGUUUCAGUCGUUUGUGAUGAAAUUCAAAGAAUAGAAUAGAAACCACAAAAAAAUUAAAAGAAAGACAAGUACUUCCGGCACUGUAGAAGAAGUGAGGGGGAAGAAAAGGAAACGGUGAAAAUAAAACAACGCCUUUGUUUCUUACAAGGUAAAAGUGAAAACCAGGAGACAACAUGUGAGAAGGAUGAAAAGAGAGAGGGAAAAGGACGAGGAGGAGAAGAAGGAGAGAAACUGUCACACACCAGCUGCCAAGUUAGGAAAAUAUCUGUGGUUUUGUGGCCUACCAGUCAGGUUUUUACAAACAACAAGGAGGAAGAUGAGGAACCGAGGAGAAAGUCUACAUGAAGUUCUGGAGGACAGCGUGUGAAGACAGAAGUGGGCUGGACAAACGUCCUGUUACCUCCAUUGGACAGAAGCAGCGGCCCUGUCGCUACACUGCCCUCUGCAGGUCACUGUAUUAUUUACGCUAAGACACUUUUUUUUGCAGUACUUUUAUCAUUACAAUGAAUAAACUGAACAAAACUGAAAUGUAAUGAAAAGGUGUUGUAGUUAAAUAUAAAAAUGUAACUUUGUGUUGAAGAACAACUUUUGACUUCCUGUUUCUACUUUAUUUUUCACAUUUAAUCUGUGAACCAGCAGAGGGCGGUGUGAAAUCACUGGACUCCAGUUUAAAAUGGUAAAAGAAACUCAAAAAAUUAAAAAAAAA